GUCCACGGCCAUGGUACCCUGAAUAAGCCCGAUCCUGUCAGAUCUCGGAAGUUAAGCAGGGUUGGGUCUGGUUAGUACCUGAAUGGGAGACCACCUAGGAAGACCAGGUGCUGUAGGUG
rnacentral:rRNA from 1 species